UACGAAGGGGCGAGCGUUAUUCGGAAUCACUGGGCGUAAAGCGUGCGUAGGCUGCUUGGAAAGUUGGAAGUGAAAGCCCAAGGGCUCGAACCCUGGAAUUGCUUUCAAAACUACCAGGCUCGGAUUUGGGAGAGGAUAGCGGAAUUGUCAGUGUAGCAGUGAAAUGCGUAGAUAUUGACAGGAACACCAGUGGCGCAAAGCGGCUAUCUGGACCAACAUCGACGUGAGGCACGAAAGCGUGGGGAUCAAACAGG
rnacentral:rRNA from 1 species